UACGUAGGCAGCGAGCGUUGUUCGGAAUUACUGGGCGUAAAGAGUGUGUAGGCGGUGCUCUAAGUUCGGUGUGAAAUCUCCUGGCUCAACUGGGAGGGUGCGCCGGAAACUGGAGUGCUUGAGCGUGGGAGGGGAAAGCGGAAUUCCUGGUGUAGCGGUGAAAUGCGUAGAUAUCAGGAGGAACACCUGUGGUGUAGACGGCUUUCUGGACCAUAGCUGACGCUGAGACACGAAAGCGUGGGUAGCAAACAGG
rnacentral:rRNA from 1 species